ensembl:miRNA gga-mir-1656 gga-mir-1656
UCUCUGUCACCAGCGGGCAUUGGCAUCACUGGCAUGGCUGUGAUGUCAUGAGUGCUGGCAGCAGGA